rnacentral:rRNA from 1 species
UGGGGAAUCUUGGACAAUGGGCGCAAGCCUGAUCCAGCCAUGCCGCGUGAGUGAAGAAGGCCUUCGGGUUGUAAAGCUCUUUUGUCAGGGACGAUAAUGACGGUACCUGAAGAAUAAGCCCCGGCAAACUUCGUGCCAGCAGCCGCGGUAAUACGAAGGGGGCUAGCGUUGUUCGGAUUUACUGGGCGUAAAGCGCACGUAGGUGGACAGUUAAGUGAGAGGUGAAAUCCCAGGGCUCAACCCUGGAACUGCCUUUCAUACUGGCUGUCUCGAGUUCGGAAGAGGUGAGUGGAAUUCCAAGUGUAGAGGUGAAAUUCGUAGAUAUUUGGAAGAACACCGGUGGCGAAGGCGGCUCACUGGUCCGAUACUGACACUGAGGUGCGAAAGCGUGGGGAGCAAA